rnacentral:ncRNA from 1 species
AAUAAAAUCAAAUAGGUAAAAUAUGUGGUAUAUUAGAAAAUGAUCAAACCGCAGGUUCAGACAUUUGGUGUAUGUGCUUGGCUGAGGAGCCAAUGGGGCGAAGCUACCAUCUGUGGGAUUAUGACUGAACGCCUCUAAGUCAGAAUCCCACCCAGGCGGAACGAUACGGCAGCGCCGAAGGAGCCUCGGUUGGCCUCUGAUAGCCGGUCCCCCGCCGUCCCCGCCGGCAGCCCGCAUGGUGCGUCCGCCUCGGUGGCGUGCCCCCCCCCCCGCCGCGCGUCAGGACCGGGGGGGAGGGGGGGGGUCCGGUGCGGAGAGCCCUUCGUCCUGGGAAAUGGGGCGUGGCCGGAAAGGGGGCCGCCCUCUCGCCCGUCACGCACCGCACGUUUGUGGGGAACCUGGCGCUAAACCAUUCGUAGACGACCUGCUUCUGGGUCGGGGUUUCGUACGUAGCAGAGCAGCUCCCUCGCUGCGAUCUAUUGAAAGUCAGCCCUCGACACAAGGGUUU